GCAAGUCAGUUAAGAACAAAUUCUUAUUUUCAAUGACGGCCUAGGAACAGUGGGUUAACUGCCUGUGUUGCGUGCGUUGCGGUCUAAGGCACUGCCAUGUCUACACCCUGUCAAUAUCCUGUCUAUAUACCAUGUCUACACCCUGUCUAUAUCCUGUCUAUAUACCAUGUCUACACCCUGUCUAUAUCUUGUCUAUAUACCAUGUCUACACCCUGUCUAUAUCCUGGUCUAUAUACCAUGUCUACACCCUGUCUAUAUACCAUGUCUACACCCUGUCUAUAUCCUGUCUAUAUACCAUGUCUACACCCUGUCUAUAUACCAUGUCUACACCCUGUCUAUAUCCUGUCUAUAUACCCUGUCUACACCCUGUCUAUAUCCUGGUCUAUAUACCAUGUCUACACCCUGUCUAUAUACCAUGUCUACACCCUCUCUACAGCAGGGCUCCCGAGUGGUGUUACGGUCUAAGGCACUGCAUCUCAGUGCUAGAGGCGUCACUGCAGACCCUGGUUCAAUUCCAGGCUGUAUCACAACCGGCCAUGAUUGGGGGUCUCAUAGGGCGGCGCACAAUUGGUCCAGCGUUGUCCGGGUUAGGGUUGACCGGGGUAGGUGGUCAUUGUAAAUAA
rnacentral:lncRNA from 13 species